rnacentral:lncRNA from 1 species
CCGCCCCGCCCCGAGGCCUCGCCUCACCCCCCCGGCCGCCCAGCGGCAGCUCAGAAGGCGCUCCAACACAAAUAGAGCAGAUACCAGCGAGUCCUGGAAACGCAGCAGUUUCUUUAUUGGGCUGCACAAGGUAGGGGGUAACAGGGGAACGGGGCAACUUCAGUAUUUGUUAGGAAGUCCUGCGGGCCUGAAGCGGUUGGGAUCGCCGCCUCUCCUGCCCCACUCGUUGGCCUCCUGGUCGAGCCGGGUGUCCUCCGCGCCUCUGCCGCUCACCCUGCUCUGCCAGCCCUCCCGGGCAUCGCUGCAAGGAGAGGCCGCCUGAACCGCCGGCACCCCGCCGGCACCCCGCUCCCAGCCGCGGUCCUGCUCUGUGCCGGCCCUCUCCCUCCCGUAACACUAUUGCUUCUGCAGUGCUGCCUCCCCUCCCCUCCAUUCCCCUCCUGGAUCCAAAGCUUCGUACGUCUCAAGAAGGAUUUCACCCCGACUGGAACACCUGGGCCCCUAGUAACUCCGUGUUAACAAGAUGGCUGCCGUGCCGUUACCUGAUCACUUUGGCUGCCCAAGCACCUCCAGGUCCUCUCCGAGCAGCAUCGUAAUUGCCACGAGCAUGGAAAUACUUGUCAGCACCAAUGUAGUUUGCCUCACGCAUGUCCCGGUAUGCUCUCCACAUAUCCCGUGCGCCUGAAGAGAGCAGACAGGUGACGUUCACUUUGAUGUCCCAUUCCAGCAGCAGCCAAGCACCAUUUCAGACAGAAGCCCAUGGCUGCUACUGGGCCAGAAAGCCUCAUGUGUCCCCAAGGCUCCCCAUGUGUCCCCAGGGCUCCAUGGAGAAACCUCUCUUAUCAAUCCCUACUGAAGUAGGGCAGGUUAGCAAAGCGGAAGAAAAGGGGCUCCUUGAGGAGAACUUCGUGGAGCCAUGGAGGCUUUGCUUGGCUCUGAUGCCUCAAGGGCUGGUGGAGUUGUCUCAAAGCAAGCUGGCAGUGACACUUUAGACCCAUAGUGUGCACUAGAGAAGGUACCAGCUUCAUUCUGAGACUUUAGCAGUAGAAGGUUUGUGCAACCAGUUUGUCCACAAAAAGCUCUCCAUGAGCACGUGCCUAUCCUGCAAUCCCUGUGCCUGGUUUGGCCGCAGGGUUGCCCCCAAGCUUGAGCCCAGGCCUGCCAUAUUCUUUGUGCUGCGCUUGGCAAGACCCAAGGAACACAGAGGCACUUGUCCAAAUGGGCCUUUCAAUGGGAGUCGCCAGCUGAAAGGGCCUGUGGAGGCUGAUCGAGGUCCUCUCCUAGCAGCAGAGACCAACAGGGUCCCUAAUGUGGAGCCACAGGACCUCCUUGACUGGAGGACUGCAUGUAGCCCAUACUCAGGGAUUGGGUCCUGAGAGAAAGACCAGUGGUGAUGGAACAACUUACCUCCAGCUGCAUCCCUGACAAACUUGAUACCGCUGGAGAAUGGGUUGUCUGCACUUGCAUACAGAACAAUGGAGAGCAACACGAAGCAGAUACAGAGCCUCAUGGUUCCCUGCCCAAGCCUGACACGGAGCUGUAAGAAAAUAAGAGAGAUUAGCAGUUGUAGAGCACCUCUUAGAGAUUUCUGACCUAGCAUUCAUUGCACCCACAGCUGUGCCCAGGUAGCUGCAGGAACACUCAUGCAGCCACCCCAGAGCUUAUGGCCUGCCCAAGAGCUCAGCAUAAGACUCCUCGACAAAGGCAGACACACAGGAGAAAUUUGCAUUUGAGCAUUCUUUGCUGCUUCUUCCAUGAGAACAGAGAAGUCCCACAUGCUAAAACAUCAGUCCUCUUCCCAAAUAACAAAAACAGUGCAUGCAUCACAUAAAUUCAGAGCAUCACUCACCACUGCAGAAAGGCAAAGCCUGGAGGUCAGGUGGAAGUGAAGCCCAUCUCAUGAGCUUUCAGAGAGGGUAUUUAUAAGCGAUUUAAACCCCAGAAAAGAGGAAAUUGAAAAGGAUACCCAGGGCUGGGAAUUUCCCAGUACCACCCCACUUUCAACAUAGAAUUACAAUAAGCUUGCCCUUGUCCUGGCUGAAAGUUCAUGAAUCCUGUUACACAAUUUUUUGUAAAGUAUACAGUGCUUUGUUUUCCACAGGAAAUUUGCUCCCCAUAGCAAGCAGAUUGAGAAACUUCCACAAAGAUUGAAGUGUUUGAGAUGUUGUGGUUGACUUCAGUUUUUUGGCUCUUGUGCUAGAAUGAGCUCAGAGGAGAAACUGCCUGAUCAUCUGCCUUCAUCUUGAGGUACAAUAUUGGGUCUGCGCCUUUGCACAAACAUACAAGCGUUUUUAUGGCCAGGUUUUGGUAGUAGAGGGCUGUAGUGAUGGCUUCUGUGAGCAGCUGCCCCGUGUCAGAUCAGAGCCAGCUCCAGCUGCUCCAAAAGGAACCUGCUGCUGGGCAAAGCUGAACCAUGAGUGACACUGAGUGCGCCUCUGUGAGAGCAGAUUGAAGGGAGGGAAAAAAAGCUGCACAUCAUCUGGGAGAGAAGAGUGAGAAAUGUGAGAGAAGAAGCCCUGCAGCCACCGAAGUCGGGGCAGGAAGAGGGCAGAAGGUGCUCCAGGACAGAUCAAAAGUUCCCUGCAGCCCAGGAGAGGCCCGCAGUGGAGCAGGCUGUCCCCCUGCAGCCCAUAGAGAGCCCCUGCAGGAGCACCAGUGCGUGGAGAGGAGCCCACGGUGGGACAGGAGGGCUGGGAUAGCUGCUGCCUCGGGGGAGCCAUGCCCCAUGGUACUGAGCCAUUUUGGAGCAGUGCUUCAAGAGCUGCAGCCUGUGGGAGGCCCAUGCAGGAUCAGUUUGGGAAGGAUGGCAUCUUGUGGGAGGGACCCCAGCUGGAGCAGGGGCAGAGUGCAACUGUGCAGGAGCAACAGAAACAAAGUGUUAUGGAUUGUCCACAGCUCUUGCUCCCCUGUGCUUCUCAGAGGGAGGAGGUAGGAGAGGGGAGGAGGGGGAAAGGUGAUUUUCAUUUGUUUUUUAGUUCUCAUUGCUCUAGUUUGCUAGCAGUAGGCAAUAAAUUACAUUAGUCUCCCUUACACUGAGUCUGUUUUCCUGCGACAGUGGCUGCUGAGUGAGCUCCCCAUCCUUAUCUCAACCCAGGAGCUUUUUUCACAGUUUCUUCCAUCUUUCUGAGGAUGCAGAACAAGGGAGCAGCACAAUGGACCUCAGCUAGCCAAUGCAUGAAACCACAACAGGGAACGGUCAUCUACACUACCAGAAAUGCUGCAGGAACUGCUAGGUGUUGGGGUAGCAAGAUGGAUCCCAAAGAUGGCAGAACUUAACUCCACUGCAUACACCUAUAUCCUAACUGGCAACACUUUAAGACAGUGCACACUCAUGCCACCACUGGGAAGGCUUAAAUGGUUCAUUCUUCCUUUGCUUGCUCCCACAGACUCCUCUUAAGGGGCAUUAAGCCAUUCUGCUUCCACAGUGGCUCAGCCGAGUCCCAGUGGGCUAAAGGAAGGAGAGUAAUGCAGUAGCAAAUGUUUUAAUAAAAGGGAAAUUCAAAUCCAUAUGGCCAAAUCUCAAAUUUUAAGAUCAGCAUAUUGACAAUCAAGCCCUGUUGGUGUGGCUCACAGCUUGAGUACCCAAUAUCCUCCUCUUGCGUUUGCACCAGGUCAAAGAGUGCUUGGCGCCUGCUUGCCUUGUUCAACAACCAACAUGAUUCCUCUGCAGAAGGCUCUGGACAGAGCAUGCAGAAUGCCUCCCUUUACACGGUCUCAUACACAGUUUAACAGCUACAGAGUUUCUUUAAAUGCUGUGCAGAACAAGUAUGCGUAGUUGUCCCAUUCACAAUUCUGUCGCUUAGCAAGUGGCUGGAGCUGAAGUGCUGGGGCAUGAGGUAGAAGAGUGCAUUAGCAAACUGGGCUAAUAAAAUACCAGCAACUGUCUUCUCUUCCUUUGGACAUCUCUGACUCCAGCAAAAAACUUAAGAGAGCAAGAGCCACUUUCCAGAGACAGGCCUGGAGCAGAAGGAGAGAUAACCUCUGAAUAGAACAACUUGAGAUGAGAAGAAUCUAUAUCCCAAUGCGACAUAAAGGAAAACUUUGCAAAAGCCGUGAGACAGACAAAAAUCUUGCCUGUGCCAUCCAUGAACCUCAUACUUAACAUACACCUUAGCUACCGUAGGGACUGGAGUGUUGUGUUAUUACAAUUCCAUUUACAUUCUACGGAUGAUUUAAAUCCCUUUCAGCACCUAUCAGCCCAAGUUCCUUCUCUGCUGGCUGCAAGUGGCCCAGCCUGUCUCCUCUUCAGUUUUAAUUUAAAUUAAGUCACAACUGGAAGAGGAUUCUUUUGAACUUGGAUUGAACUCAGCAAAACAUAAGUCAUUGUGUCCAGGGACCUGGAAGGUGCCCAUAGAACUGACUUAAGGAACUUUCUGGAACACAGAAGGCGUUUCUGGGUUUUCAGACCUGGUCUGAUAUUUCACAUUCUCAUCAAGCCACUGUUCUCUGCAAAUAGCACAAACAUGAGGAUAACUGCAACAAGACAGGCACUGGCGUGGACUGUGAAUUGCUUAUCUUGACUCUGCCUGGAAAGCACUGCUUUCCCAACUCCUCUGGGCCUGCUUUCCCAGUCACAGUCCUUGGCCCGUAGAAGCAAAAGCUGCAGCCAAGAACUGCUACCUUUACACAAAGACGUGAGCAAGCUGCCACUGAGAGUGAAGAAGGAUGGAAUGCUCCUGCCUGGAUACUAGGUACAUCUAACCUAAUAAGGGCCCCUCCAAGACUCUCUUCUGACUUUGGAUGAUCUGAUACAGUUAAGAUAAAAGCACAAUUUGGAACCUCUACCCCUGAAACUGGCCUUUGAUUUUAAAUAUCUGUAAAUGCAGUCAUUUUGCAAUCGAGGUAUUUUGCAAUCUAAGUCAAUAAGCUUUUGACUGGGAAAUGGAAGGUAAAAUCCCAGCCCAGACCCAGCAGUAAAUACUGUUUUUCUAUAUUCUGGGAAGUAAGAAGACUUUCUCUUCACUUACCCAAACAAAAAUACACCUUUUUAUUUUUUUUCUUUUUCCUUUUCCUCUUGUAAUGCUGCUCUGUGCAAUGUUUGCUAACAUUGGUGUCAGGCUUGCAGAAUGAUUGCAAUCUUCCUAGUUUUGUAAGAUACAGGCUGCACAUAUAAAUGCUUAUCUUAAAUAGAAUCAUCAAAAACCUACUGGUAAAUGAAUUUUAACAGUGAAGUUGUGUUUUGAAGCAGGUUAAGGACUUCUACAAAGUUGCUCUACGCAAAGCCCCCUUGAUUCAUUUCUGCUUCUUCAGGGAUGCUGCUACCAACAGUCAGCACAACAAGAGAGGAACCACAGCACAUCUGCUUCAGUGCAGGCAGGCUCAAACCAUGGGUGCUGUGUGCUUGACUGGCUGAUGAGAGCUGGUAGGUGGGAUCCCUCAGGAAGCUUCCUGGUGAUGGCAUUGUGCCAUACAACCGAAUUCUAGACAUGAAACUAUUUCAUGCUUAUGCUCAUCACACUUCAUUCUUAACUUUUCUUCAAGAAUAAACUCUUACUCUUUGUUGGCAAGUUAAUUGAAGUCAUCAGCACUUCAGGCACCAGAUUUUAACAAAUGCUUCCCAUUAUGUUAGCUGCAUGACUACUCCAACACGAAGUUUAAGAAAAAAAAUGAAAAACUUUGAAUGCAAAGUUAUGAUUUAUUGUAAAAAAAGAACAAAAAGCUGCAUCCCAGUCCUCACCCAUGGUUACUCAAGUGUACAAAAACCUCACAGAAGCAAGAAAGAGAUUGUUAGGUACACAAUGUACACUGAACAAAUAAAGCAAAACAGUUAAGUCCAGAAAAAAGGCAGCUACAUUUUUAUCAGUUCAGCAAACUUCCUUAUUAAAGGCAGCAAUAGCACUCAGCUGAAGAUAUGAUGCAUUGCAAGAAACAGUUAAGCCACUGAGGUAGCAGCACGUUCACUUGGCAGAUAAGAGAACAGGAACAGAUAAUACCUAUUUAACCUCCCUAUACUGCAAGUGCCUGGCUUCUAUUCCAACAGUCUUACUAUAGUGUACCAUGAGGGUGUGGUGUGUUUCUGAUAGAAGGAUUUGGGCUGUUUCCAACAUCAAAACAUAGAACUGAAAACUUUUCUUUUUUAGAAGUACUUACUUAAUGGCUUUUCCACAAGCAACACUAUUACCAGAUGAAAGCCUGCUACUAAUUCUCUAUCUGUAGCUUCAUUUUCUCUAGUGAAAUAAACUCCUCACAAUAGGCCUUCCUGCAAUUGAGAUGAAAAAGUCAGAUUGUACCCAUCCAAAGUCUGAAAGCUGUACUACUACAGUCCUAUCUUGAUGAAAAUAAAAGCAUUAUUUCCCAACAGUGUAAGUGCUGCAAAUACACGUCAGAUUAUUUUUAGAUCUUCAUAAAGAAAUAUUUUGAAAUCAUUUAUUGACAUUAUGGAUUUUGAAGGAUUAGAACUUAGUUCUAAUGCAUGAAUUUACUGUUUAAUUGACCUUUGCAAACAGUUGCUGACUGCAACCUUCUGCUAAAAGGGUGAGAAUGUGAUAGAGAGAAGGGCCAAAAUCAGUGACCUACACCAAAAUCUGUUCAAACAUGCACUGAGUGCAGAAACCACGUUCAUACAAACCAUAGUUCUGUAAAUGUGAAAUUAAACCCAGGUGAUUUUAUAAGUCUUCAUAUUCACAUUCUAGCUGAUAUUCAAAAAGACUUUCUGCUUGAUGGCAUCAAUUGAACUAUACUCUCAAUGUUCAGGGUUUGUUUUUUUCCCAGGGUUAAAAUAAGGUGAGGUCUUCUUGCUUUCUAAAGGUCAAAAUGCACUGGGGAACACUGUUGUCCUGAGGUUUAUUGAAAUAGCACAGCUGAAGCCUACAGUCAUAUUUUGCAAACAGUCAUGGGCAAUUUAGAAAUAUCUUACAGUUCAACAGUGAAUUAAUUUAAGUGCUAUUAAUCAGUAUUAUUAUUCAUUCUGAAAAAUAUCAACACAAUUUACAGGAGAAUAAAAAAUAACAUGCUCAGAUGUUCCUCAGGAAUAGCUUCUCAUGUUUGCAAACAAACACCAAAAAAUAGUUUUAUACAUCAGAACCUGAUUUUUGGGGAUUCAUACUCUUAACACUUAAGUUGUGCAGACUCAGAAAAUAGAUUUUCAUCUCAGAAAUAUGCCAGCUCAAUUUUGAGAUGGACACUGGAUUGUUUUAAAGUUCUAGAGUGCAAAGUUCAUCUCCAAAGGAGUAAGGAAGAACUGUGAAUGGCUCCCAGGCAGAUACCUGCCAUAUGGACACUGGCUCAAAUGCAAUCACAUCUUUUGAGAGAAGCUCACUUCAUUAAGAGCCUGCGAGUUUCAGAGGCACUUCAACAUACAAUCAUUACAGUUCCCAAAGCUUUCCCAGCCAUCUCUAUGCUUGCUGAGACCACAAGAAUCGGUCACACUUGUCCAACAUGGACUGAAUCAGGGCUCUGCAAUAAAAGCAAAGGAAAAGUUAAACAGUAUAAAAAAAAGCUAACAGAAAGAACAACACUUCUGCUUUUUAAAACAAAGUUUAUCAGAAAUGCAAUUACAUUUCAGAGGUGACAGCAACACGCAUGCCUUCUCUGAAGGCAACCAGUGGGGCUCAGCAAGACAGACAUCUCCUUCAGGGAAUCUUCCUCACGUAUAUCUGACUUCUUACUUUCCCUCUUUUUCCCCCCUUUUAAAGUGCCUAUAUUGCCCAACACACAGUUCUUAAGAGAAAAACUUUCAGCUGAGUUUAAAAUUCAAGAAUUCAAUUCAAGAGUGAAGGUUUUUUUUUUUUUUUUUUAUCUUUUUGUUAACUACAAAGUUUAAAGCACAAAGAUCGAAAAUAAAUGGUGUGCAUACACAGAUCUUCCACUGAUGCAUCAUCUUACCUUUGCCUUUUCUCAGCAAUUUUCAGUAUCUCGCAGACACCAGUAAAUCUUUCAGACAAUUCUAGCUUCAAGCCACACUCCUGUAGUAGAGGCAAGGCACGAUUUGUGCCAAUGGCCUUGGCUAAUAGGAGAGCUACAUUUUCCACAGUGAUGCAAUUUGGCCAGCUAGGGCUACCACUGCUGCUGACAGCAUUCCCAUUCUGUGGGCCAUCGCUGUGGAAAGCACUGCUAUGAUUUUGUGCAAGAUGCAGAAGAAACUUCCAUUCUUCUGUGGUCUCUGGAAUCGAACCAGCUUCUUCAUUCAACAGGCUCAAAUCAUCCAAAUGAGCAAUAUUAGUAAAGGCUUCUAUUCUUCUAUCCAGCUCCAGGCAGAGAAAAAGAUAUCCGGGCCAAAAUCUUAAAUAGGAGAGCAAAGAUUUCCAGGAAUCAAAUAUUCAGUCUAAACUGAAGUCAACAAUAGUAAAGCAUUCACUUAAAUCAUCAGUCAAGAUGGAAGCAACUGAAUUUCCUGAAUGCCAGAAGCAAUGCUACCCAUUGCAGUGUACACAGGCAAUACCACCUAUCCAAAAUGGGUUCCUGGCACAUCAAAUUGGCCUCUAAAAAUUCAUCCUCUAAAGAGGAAACAUUUUUCAAUCAAACGUGUUUGUGGAAGGAGCAGACAGGCGGUUUUCAUUUGUAUCUUUUCAGGGUCAGAGUGCAAGUAUGAAGUGCUCAUCUCACCCGUGUGAUUUACAAACGUCAGCCAUCUUCUCUUUUGUAACAAAAUCAGCUGGGAGUUUAAUCAGAAGCAGAAUGAGCUGGCUGUAUCCCCACGUAAACAAAUGCGACCGUGGCCUAGAAGACAAAAAAAUAUGUAUUAAGGUUUUCUUCAAAACUUGUGUUUUCUCAUAGAGAAAACCAGAUGUAUCACAUGAGAGAAGGGAAGCAAAUGAGACAGUGUCUCACUGUGUUUCAGUAAGAGCAGUCAUUCUGUACAGCAUCGUGGACAAAGUUAUUUAACCCUUUCGUUGCUUCUGCUCAACUCCGCAGUGUGCCAAACGCCCCAAGGAUUCACUGACAUCCUAACUGCCG